AUUGAACGCUGGCGGCAUGCCUUACACAUGCAAGUCGAACGGCAGCGGGGGAGAAGCUUGCUUUUCCUGCCGGCGAGUGGCGAACGGGUGAGUAAUACAUCGGAACGUGCCCUGUAGUGGGGGAUAACUAGUCGAAAGAUUAGCUAGUACCGCAUACGACCUGAGGGUGAAAGUGGGGGACCGCAAGGCCUCAUGCUAUAGGAGCGGCCGAUGUCUGAUUAGCUAGUUGGUGGGGUAAAGGCCUACCAAGGCGACGAUCAGUAGCUGGUCUGAGAGGACGAUCAGCCACACUGGGACUGAGACACGGCCCAGACUCCUACGGGAGGCAGCAGUGGGGAAUUUUGGACAAUGGGCGAAAGCCUGAUUCAGCAAUGCCGCGUGUGUGAAGAAGGCCUUCGGGUUGUAAAGCACUUUUGUCCGGAAAGAAAUGGCUCUGGUUAAUACCUGGGGUCGAUGACGGUACCGGAAGAAUAAGGACCGGCUAACUACGUGCCAGCCGCCGCCGUAACAC
rnacentral:rRNA from 1 species